GAAGUUCAAACUCUACAACUGCAGCAGGACGUUUCUGAAUGGUGCUCCUGUGGAAACUGUGCAACCAUGCCCACAGAAGCUGAGAAUAUCUGCUGCUAGGAGAUACCACAGGUUACCAGAUGGCUAUGGGAGAUCGUGGAAGAUUUACCAUGUAUGGUAGACCGUCCUGGGUUGGAGCCGCUCUGCCUCAAUGUGUUCUGCCUGCAACAUGUACAGCG